GCGUACCUUUUGUAUAAUGGGUCAGCGACUUAUAUUCUGUAGCAAGGUUAACCGAAUAGGGGAGCCGAAGGGAAACCGAGUCUUAACUGGGCGUUAAGUUGCAGGGUAUAGACCCGAAACCCGGUGAUCUAGCCAUGGGCAGGUUGAAGGUUGGGUAACACUAACUGGAGGACCGAACCGACUAAUGUUGAAAAAUUAGCGGAUGACUUGUGGCUGGGGGUGAAAGGCCAAUCAAACCGGGAGAUAGCUGGUUCUCCCCGAAAGCUAUUUAGGUAGCGCCUCGUGAAUUCAUCUCCGGGGGUAGAGCACUGUUUCGGCAAGGGGGUCAUCCCGACUUACCAACCCGAUGCAAACUGCGAAUACCGGAGAAUGUUAUCACGGGAGACACACGGCGGGUGCUAACGUCCGUCGUGAAGAGGGAAACAACCCAGACCGCCAGCUAAGGUCCCAAAGUCAUGGUUAAGUGGGAAACGAUGUGGGAAGGCCCAGACAGCCAGGAUGUUGGCUUAGAAGCAGCCAUCAUUUAAAGAAAGCGUAAUAGCUCACUGGUCGAGUCGGCCUGCGCGGAAGAUGUAACGGGGCUAAACCAUGCACCGAAGCUGCGGCAGCGACGCUGAUGCGUUGUUGGGUAGGGGAGCGUUCUGUAAGCCUGUGAAGGUGUGCUGUGAGGCAUGCUGGAGGUAUCAGAAGUGCGAAUGCUGACAUAAGUAACGAUAAAGCGGGUGAAAAGCCCGCUCGCCGGAAGACCAAGGGUUCCUGUCCAACGUUAAUCGGGGCAGGGUGAGUCGACCCCUAAGGCGAGGCCGAAAGGCGUAGUCGAUGGGAAACAGGUUAAUAUUCCUGUACUUGGUGUUACUG
rnacentral:rRNA from 1 species